AGUGGCUCAGUGGUAGAGCGCUUGCCUUGCACGCCUGAGGCCCUGGGUUCGAUUCCUCAGCACUA
rnacentral:tRNA from 1 species